rnacentral:lncRNA from 1 species
CCAUCUUGAAGAAAAGAAGCAAGAAAGGAAGAAAAUAUAAACAAAUGACUAUUUCCUCCCCCUCAAAGAAGUUGAAUUUAAAAAGGAACACUCUCCCCACUCCCUUUCUACUUGGGAUACUCCAUGGACAGUGUCAAGGCACAGAGACAAUGAAGGUUUCUGGUCAGGGCUACACGUGGUGAAGCUGAAAAGUGUUCGUGCAGAAGUGCCUUACCACCAUCACCCAUUCAGAAUGCAGCAGUUGCACACCAAGCUUCUAAGGAUGCAAGAGUAUCAGCCAAUGAUACCCAGACACCUCCACGAUUCUCCUUUAGACUUCGCUGGACGUCAGUUCCUUAUGGACAUCCUCUUCUCCCUGAGUCCCAUCCUCCAGCUAUGCCCAACAAUUUAAGUACCAUAACCCAAGACAAUGACUCAGAGCAUCCCCUGACAAGCCAACAACCUUAGGAAUGGUCAGUUCUAUGCCCAGGGUAGCAGAAAGUAGUUGGAAGAUGAGACCUCUACCCAAAUAGCACAGAUUUGUCACUGUUGUUCUGUCAGGAGGGAAAUGUGUAGCCCUAAGGAGUUAAAAGAAAAUUGAAAAAUGGGUUUUGCUGGCAGGAACAGAAACAGGGUAGAGGGGAGCAAAUGUUCUAAGAAACAGGGUCAACCUCAAAUGGCUCACUAGCAUCUAAGCAUCCUUUUACAAGCACCUAGCUCACAGCCCACCUGCAUGCUGUCUGCAAGUACUCAGCUUAAGCAGCACGACCUUAAAAAAUUUUCCUCCAGCCCCUGCCUCUUUGCAGGCAGCUUUCCCUCUGCUGUCUUGCCUACUGCUCUCUUGCAACAUAUUUUCCCCUUUUCUCGAAACAAAUCUGCCUUUCUAAACUCAUUACUGUCUUAGUAAAUUCUUUUAUCACCUAUGUGCCGGCCUCAGACACUCAGUGACCACCACAGCAUAUGCAUGUAUUAUGUAUAUGUAUGUAUCUUGUGUAUAUUUGUAUCUUAUGUAUUUAUGACAUUAUAUAAUCUUGCAUAUAUACCUAAUAAAUAUACAGUAAGUACUCACUUAGUGUCAUCAAUGGGUCUUGGAAACUGUGACUUUAAGUGAAGUGUUGUAUAAUGAAACGAAUUUACUACAGGCUGAUUGAUAUAAAGAAGAGUCAAGUUACUCCGGCAUAUUUCUAGUCAAAAAACAUCAUGAAACUUCU